AACGAACGCUGGCGGCAUGCCUAACACAUGCAAGUCGAACGGACGGUAGCAAUACCGUUAGUGGCGGACGGGUGAGUAACGCGUGGGAACCUGCCUCGAAGUUCGGAAUAACCGCGGGAAACUGCGGCUAAUACCGGAUGUGGCCUGAGGGUCAAAGGCGCAAGUCGCUUCGAGAGGGGCCCGCGUCCGAUUAGCUAGUUGGUGGGGUAACGGCCUACCAAGGCGACGAUCGGUAGCUGGUCUGAGAGGAUGAUCAGCCACACUGGGACUGAGACACGGCCCAGACUCCUACGGGAGGCAGCAGUGGGGAAUAUUGGACAAUGGGGGAAACCCGUGAUCCAGCAAUGCCGCGUGGGUGAUGAAGGCC
rnacentral:rRNA from 1 species